UUUAUAUGAGAGUUUGAUCCUGGCUCAGGAUGAACGCUGGCGGCGUGCCUAAUACAUGCAAGUCGAACGAGUUCUCGUUGAUGAUCGGUGCUUGCACCGAGAUUCAACAUGGAACGAGUGGCGGACGGGUGAGUAACACGUGGGUAACCUGCCCCUUAAGUGGGGGAUAACAUUUGGAACAGAUGCUAAUACCGCAUAGAUCCAAGAACCGCAUGGUUCUUGGCUGAAAGAUGGCGUAAGCUAUCGCUUUUGGAUGG
rnacentral:rRNA from 1 species